rnacentral:misc_RNA from 1 species
UCUCCGUAGGUGAACCUGCGGAGGGAUCAUUACAGAGUUCAUGCCCUACCGGGUAGAUCUCCCACCCUAUGUUAUUAUUACUUUGUUGCUUUGGCGGGCCGUUAGGCUCCGGCCCGACUACCGGCCUCGGCUGGUAAGCGCCCGCCAGAGGACCCAAAACCCUGAAUAUUAGUGUCGUCUGAGUACUAUAUAAUAGUUAAAACUUUCAACAACGGAUCUCUUGGUUCUG